GUGCUCACUUUGGCAGCAGAUGUACUAAAAUUGGAAUGGUACAGAGAAGAUUAGCAUGGCCCCUGUGCAAGGAUGAUCCACAGUGUUCAAAAAAGUAAAAGCAAAAG
rfam:Tupaia chinensis contig196987, whole genome shotgun sequence.